GCCGGGCGUGGUGGCUCGCGCCUGUAAUCCCAGCACUUUGGGAGGCUGAGGCGGGUGGAUCACCUGAGGUCAGGAGUUCUAGACCAGCCUGGACAACACGGUGAAACCCUGUCUCUA
ensembl:misc_RNA Metazoa_SRP Metazoan signal recognition particle RNA